GAUUCCAUUUUUAAUUCCUAUAAAAAUAGUGUCACAAAUUCGGCUUCUUUCAAAUUUCGAAAUUUGCAUUGUGUCUUUGAAUAACGAAAAUUCUCUCAGUAAGGUUCCAUUCCUGAAAUAUAAUUUCUACACAUAAGUUAUCACUUAGCUUAAGCUUACGCCAAAGGAAGCAUACAAAACAUCAUCAUUCUAAUGUAUACAUUACAAUUUAUACCAUAUUUGGGCACGAGGGUGGACAACUAUAUUAUAUGUGUGUAUGUGGGGGCGUUGAAGCAUGAACAUGCAUGUAAAUAUUUCGUACAAAUAUACUCUCUUCAAUAGACUUCGCUUUUUGAAAUCAUUAUGACGCAUUAAUUAUAGUUUAAGAUUAAAUUCAUUUAUAUCUACAUAUUAAAUGGUGAUACAUCUAAACAUAUGAUUAUGUAUAUUUGCAGUAGUAUAUUAUAAUACAUUUCUGUUUUUCAGCAUGUACUACUGAGAAUUAAAAUUUUGCUCAGUGUUUAUCAUUCCCGUAGAUUUCUAGUGUAACGUGUUGCAUAUAAUAUAUAUAAGUGCCUCCAUGUGUAACUGCAUGCGCCAGCGUUUGUAAGUUUGCGUGUGUAUGCAUGUGUGCGUAUUCGUUGAUGUGAGUGUGCACACGCGUGUGCGCAUGUUUGUUUGUAAUCGAUAAAAUGAGAACAAAUAAACAAAUACCGUGUUUUCAAUAAUUUGUGUAUUUAAAAAUAACAUGGCAUUACUUAAAAAGAGACUAAUAACUUUAUUUUUUUAUUAGUCACAUAUUGAUUUUUUUUACAGGGAAUUUUUGUGAUGUUCCUUGUUAAUGGAAUUGGCUUUUCUUGCAACCUGGCACUUUAAUAGACUUCGCUUUUUGAAAUCAUUAUCGCGCGUUAAAUAUAGCUAACAUCAAAUUCAUACUGUGACGAAUGUGUGUGCGUUAACAUAAAACAAGUUACAUAUAUAUACCUGAAUCUGUUUACUCCUCUUCACAUCAUAUUCCAACAACUCAUCAUCUUGAAAGAUAAUAAAGAUUUUCUGUUCAAAAAUGUAGUUAUAUUUCUAGAUUAGAAUGUGAACAGCUUCUCUUUCUUUGAUCUCAUAUGUUUCGUAUCGAUUAGCACUAUGUGUAACUCUGUGUUCAAAUUACAUCUUAUCCUGUAAAUACAGCAGAAGUUAUAUGAUAGUUCUUAAAAUAAGUAUUUAUAACUCAGACAAAUGCAUCCUGAAGAAGCAGACAUACGAGAAAUAUAUUUAAAAUUAUACAUUUUCGUUUCGGGAUUCACUUCAAAUAGAACAUUUUUAUCAAUAUCGUUUUUUUUUUUCCUUUUACUUCAUCAUUGUCUGCGUUAAUAAACCUCACUAUGUACUAUAAUUGAACAUUGUGUCGCCAUUGUAGGGAUUCUAGUUAUACUUAUCGUAUUGAUUAGUAACUCUUGGAAAUUUUGAUAAUCAUAAAGUUGAUAGAUGUUCAUAUUAUUGUGUAGGAUUAUAUUUUCCUCUUAAAUAUGUACGAAAAUUAAAUUCAUGUAAAAAUUCUGCCGAAAGUUGUUAAAACUCCGACAGUAUGCGUUAGAAAGAUGCUUUGGAUGAAGGAGUCUACUACUUUUUUAUUAUACUUAUUUUAUUUAUUAUACUGUAGUUUUGUGUUUUAUUUAUUGCAUUUUUAUUGUAUUUUAUUUUCACAUUAUUAUAUGAACAAGUUAACCGUAACCCAUUGAGUAUUUGAGUUAUUCUUUAUUCAUUUGUGUAUGACAUCAUUCUAUUUACCAUACUAGCUAUUUUUGGUUUAAAAUUCAGCUCAGUCUUUCGUUUGGUAUUCAUAUAACUAAGGAAAAUAUACUCUACAGAUACGUAAAAACAGUGAUUCAUGAAAUUGUGACAGAAAAUGUUCUGCUAUUUCUAAAUAAAAUGUCUAAAUAUGCUUUCAGAGAAUUAAAUACAGGGAUACAUAGAUUACAGUUUCUACUUUCUAUGGGCACGAGAGUGGACCGCUAGAUUGUGUGCGUGUGUGUGUGUGAGUGUGUGUGCGUGCGUGUGUGUGUGUGUGUGUGUGUGUGUGUGUGUGUGUGUGUGUGUGUUCCCGUUCUAUCAUAACUGUACAAAGUGUGUCGUUAAUCUCUGCACCACUACUCUCCAGGAUGUUAAGGUUUUGGAAUAACGUCGAUUACUUAACGUUCAAUUGCUUCACGUCUAAUGACAAAGCUGGAAGGAUAUUCUGGGUACAUUAGGCAGUUCCGUACAAAUAGCUAUUGUCUUCUUGAGAGGUUAGUAUUCAUUUUCACACUAGUUACUAACUGUAUCCAGCUGGAGCUGAUUGAUAUCCAAGCAUCAGAUGCAGUAGUUAACAAAAUACGUAGUCAAGCGUUUAUUGAAAUUCUAAGUUUCACAAAUACAAAGAAUUUUUAUCUCUGCUGCUGCUAUGACGAUUCGCAUUUAUUCGGCUGUCCAAAUAUUCUUUAUACCAUAGAGGACAUUCUUGACACGUCAUCUACGCACAUUGAUAUCCCUCCACACACCAUGUAUUAUUUGAAAUAUUUAAUGCCAUAUUUGCCUGCACAGAAGUUAGAUAAGUUACUCUGUUGAGAACUCGCAAUACCCAUGAACUUCACAUAUUCUAUAGAAAGUGAGAUUCAUGCAAUCGACGUCGAGAAUUGAUAUUUGCAGACCAAUAUAUACUGAAAAAAAAAAACUGUUUGGCAUGAAAAAAAAAAGAAACACGUACAAACACGUAAGAGUAAUAUAUUUCUAUUUUGUGGUAAAGUGUAUAUUUUAGGAUAAUUUUUUUUAUAAACAUCAAAUGGCAAGAGGUGGUUGAUAUGAGACAGAUACAAACGUCACAUUUUAUUUUCUUUCACUAAUUUAAUAAUAAAUUGACUUUUGCACCUUACUCUAACCUAAAUGCCAAACAAAAGAAAAUUUCAGCUAAAAUAUGUUGUAUACAGUGUCAUCCGCGAAGAUGACAGACCAUCAUAUAAAAAAUGUUUACUUUGAAAUCGAUUUUGAAAAUAAGUUGUAUUCCCACGAUGUUCGAGCAUACACAACACCAUCACCAACCAAAGAUUUUUUUUUUAUCAGGUUUUUAAUUUUCUGAUAUAUUUAUCGCUUUAUGCCUCUAAGAAUUUCUAUUGUUACUUCAAGUUACAAAACUCGAAUGUCAAAGCAUUACAUUUUUCUCCUUCUAUCAAUUGCUAUCUGAGAAUUUAACAAAAUUUAGCAAAACUAAAACCAAGAAAUAUUCAGAAAUGGAAAGUUGACAAUCAAUCUAGAUUCACUUAAAAACACC
rnacentral:lncRNA from 1 species